GCCCACCAUCGAGCCUAUUACCCCCACCCAAAUUUUUCCCCCGUUUUCCCCCCCAAACCAUUUAUCGAGCCUAGUAUAUGCGAUAGAAAGACCUUUUAGCGCCAUAGUACACCUGUACCGCAAGGGACCAUUGAAAGAUUACUGAAACCCAAAGCACCAUAUAGCAGAGCUCCUAGCCCGUACCUUUUGCAUCAUGGUUUAGCAAGCACAAACAAGUAGAAUGAUUUUUAACCUGCCCCCCCGAAACUGAACGAGCUAUCCUACAGCACUACUACUCCCGUCUCUGUUGCAAAAGAGUGGGACGACCGUAAGAUAGAGGUGACAUGCCUAUCCGCGUUCAGUGAUAGCUGGUUGCUCAGCAAACGAACUUUAGUUCACCUAUAGGACACCAUACCAACCACCCUCCACAGGUACACCACACCCCUAUAAUAUAUACAAUAAAGGUACAACUUUAUUGUAAUCGGAUACAACCGAUCACAGCGGACCCGUUAUUCUCUUUUUUCCUCGUAGGCCUCCAAGCAGCCACCAAAAAAACUGCGUCACAGCACCUACACCUCAAAUCCCAUUAAAAUCCACCACCCCCUGCCACCCAACUGAGCCACUCCACCGCAAGGUGGAAGCAAUACUGCUAAAACUAGUAAUAAGGGUAACCCCUCUCACGCGCACCCUUUAGCCGGACUCCGAUACCCGACCGGCAAUUAACCAUAACACCCUAGAAACCCCCAAGCCCACCUACUACACCAAUUGUAACCCCGACACUGGUGCGCCACGAAAGAAAGAUUAACCGCCCUGAAAGGAACUCAGCUAACGCGCCCCACCUGUUUACCAAAAACAUCGCCUCUAGCCCGCCCAAUAUUAGAGGUCCUGCCUGCCCAGUGAAAAUUUUUAAACGGCCGCGGUACCCUGACCGUGCAAAGGUAGCGCAAUCACUUGUCCCCUAAAUAGGGACCCGUAUGAAUGGUCAUAUGAGGGCACGCCUGUCUCACCAAGCAAAUCAAUGAACCUGAUCUCCCAGUACAAAAGCUGGGAUAACCACGCAGGACGAGAAGACCCUGUGGAGCUUUAAACCCGAAGAUUGCGCCCCCACGGCCCCCAAUCUCCAGUUUUUAGUUGGGGUGACUACGGAAUACAACAAAACUUCCGUUAUCCAAGCUAACCCCUUGCCAUGGCCCACACGCCACCGCAACCAUUUUGCAUGACCCGGCACCUGCGCCGAUCAACGAACCAAGUUACCCCAGGGAUAACAGCGCCAUCCCCUUCAAGAGCCCAUAUCGCCAAGGGGGCUUACGACCUCGAUGUUGGAUCAGGACACCCCGGUGGUGCAGUCGCUACCAAAGGUUCGUUUGUUCAACGAUUAACCAGUCCUACGUGAUCUGAGUUCAGACCGGAGCAAUCCAGGUCGGUUUCUAUCUGCUAUAUAGGCCCCUCAGUACGAAAGGAUCGGGGGCCCAGUGCCACUGGGUCCCCUACGCACUGACAAAACCUCUGACAAAACCUCAAGAUGCCACCAUCCCACUAUAAGCCCAAGCCAAGGGUUAA
rnacentral:rRNA from 1 species